CCUACCCCCACCUUUCCUCCACAGUCUACCCACUAUCUAUGGCUUUCCUCAAACCAGAAGCACUUUUCAAACCAAUCCUCCACCUUAGUUUGAAAAUGGGAUAAUUUAGCUUUGUACUUAAUUAUUCUCCCUAUUCAUUUUCGUCUUAGUUUCAAUCCUUUUCACCAAAGGAAAUUGCUUCAAGGAAAACCCUACCAAUCAUAAAAGCCAGUAGUAAAAAUGUAAGGAAAUAAAAAGGGACCUUGUGGUGCCGUAAUUUCAACACAUUUGACAUAGAUGAGAAACCUAGUAAACAAAUCUUUGGUACAAAAUCCAUCAACUUAAGGAGAAGAAAUCAGAUGGCUUUGUUUCGGACUACUUUUCCAUCUUCGUUCAACUUGUUUCUGAAAAUCCAUUUGGUUCCAACAAUGGUAGCAUUUGCUGGCUUAGGUUCAUUGUGGCAAGGCUUGAGGAAGGUCUUCUGUUGCCUAAUAGGAGGAAUCCCACAUGUAGAAACACUUAAGGGACGUAUGAUUAUUCCUUCCACAUAUCUGACAAGCUGCAGUCUCCUUUAUUUUCUGUUGGUUUUUAUUCUGAGCAGCCUGAUUUCCUUGAGAAUUGUCUUGACCAGCAGGUCUAUAACCUCUUCCCCUGGAUGAAAAAUUUUGAUUUCCUCUUUUCUGUGAGAAACCUCCACGGCCUCUAUUUUCAUUUGCUCUUUGCACUUGAAAAGCCAUGUUGUACUUUGUUUGGUGAUUAUCUUCUUCAUCUUCCCUCA